CAAUAGCGUAUAUUAAAGUUGUUGCAGUUAAAAAGCUCGUAGUUGGAUUUCUGGUUGAAGCGAUCGGUCGGGCGUUGAUUCGUCUGCACUGGAGUCGGUUUUGGCCAUCCUCUAGGAAAGUGCGUCUGGUAUUAAGUUAUCGGGCGUAUGAUCCUGGUCUUUUACUGUGAAAAAAUUAGAGUGUUUAAAGCAGGCCUUCGCCUUGAAUACAUUAGCAUGGAAUAAUAAGAUAGGACUUUGGUCUAUUUUGUUGGUUUGCAGACCGAAGUAAUGAUUAAUAGGGAUAGUUGGGGGUAUUUAUAUUCCGAUGUCAGAGGUGAAAUUCUUAGAUUUUCGGAAGAUAAACUUAUGCGAAAGCAUUUACCAAGGAUGUUUUCAUUAA
rnacentral:rRNA from 1 species